CUGUUUAGCUCUGCCCGCUUCCUUUCCCAGGCUCUAGAACGAACCCCCGCGGAGCAGUCCCCAACAGGUGUCCCCUGGGCACAACAGCCCGCGGGUCCCCAAAGCCGCCCUGCCCGCAGUGCGCACCGGGGAGGAUGCGGCCUGGGCUUGAGCCUGCGCGGCCACGUGACGGCCGCUAUAAGAGCUGCGGGCUGCGGACUCCCGCCCUCCCUGCUGGCCGCGGUCACCUACAGGCGCCCGGCUCCUCCGACCCACCGGCCACACUAUGACAGAUCAGGCUUUUGUGACGCUCACCACAAACGAUGCCUAUGCCAAAGGGGCGCUGGUCCUGGGCUCAUCUUUGAAACAGCACAGGACUACUAGGAGGACGGUUGUACUCGCCAGCCCACAGGUUUCAGACUCCAUGAGAAAAGUUUUAGAGACUGUCUUUGAUGAAGUCAUCAUGGUAGAUGUCUUGGACAGUGGUGAUUCUGCUCAUCUAACCUUAAUGAAGAGGCCUGAGUUGGGCAUCACGUUGACUAAACUCCACUGCUGGUCACUCACUCAGUAUUCCAAAUGUGUGUUCAUGGAUGCAGAUACUCUGGUUCUCUCAAAUAUUGAUGAUCUUUUUGAAAGAGAAGAAUUGUCAGCAGCACCAGACCCAGGGUGGCCUGACUGUUUCAAUUCUGGAGUCUUUGUCUAUCAACCCUCAAUUGAAACGUAUAACCAGCUGUUGCAUCUUGCUUCUGAGCAAGGUAGUUUUGAUGGUGGGGACCAGGGCCUACUGAAUACAUAUUUUAGUGGCUGGGCAACGACAGAUAUCACAAAACACUUGCCAUUUGUGUAUAACCUGAGCAGCCUCUCAAUAUACUCCUACCUCCCGGCAUUUAAAGCGUAAGUACAAACAGUUUAACUGCUGUAGGUUAUGGUGAGGGUAGAGGAGUGGGCUUUCACGCUAUCAUCUUUUGGAGGAAAAUAAUAGUUGAGUGCUUUUGAGGAAAGCUUGCUCUUGUAAAAACCUGGCUGCAGUUUCGAGAAGCUUGAUGUCAUCCACUGCUCUAUACUUAAAGUAGCCCAGAGACAUUUUGCUGUCUUCUGGAACAGAUUUCCUCUGUUUCUGGAUUAUACCACACCGGCUGCUGAGCUUUGGUCUUCCCUCUUCUUUCUCUUCCUCCUUUCUCUUCUUCCUUCUCUUCCUCUCCCUCUUCUUUCUCUUCUUCCUUCUCUUCUUCUUUUCCUCUUCCUCUCCCCCUCUUCUUCCUCCCCCUCUCCCUUCUCUUCUUUCUCUUCUUCCCUCUCCUCUUCCUCCUUUUUCUCUUCUUCCUUCUCUUCCUCCUCCUUUUCCCCUUUCCCCUCUUCCCCUCUUCCUCUUCUUCCUCCUUCCCCUCCUCCCCCUUCCCCCUCUUCCUCCUCUUCUUCCUCUUCCUCCUCAUUCACAAAGAGGACAUUGCCAGUCCCAUCCAUGGCUUUCGAGGGAACUUAGAGCAGGCAGCAGCAUGCUGUGUGCUUAAGAGGGGGACUUGCAACUGACUACACUCAGCUUACAUCCUAAAGUUGCUGCUUACCAGUUACUGAUGCUGGAUUUAAAGCCUGAGCUGUUCUGCUUCUGCAUCUUUGUGGGGUUAUUGUAGGAACUGAGAACUGUGACAAUGAAAGCAAUUAGGAAUCUGGCCUUCACUGGGCACUAAGUGAAAGUCCUUUACUUAGUUCAUUUUAGAAACUCUGUGUCACCCAAUUGCAAUUUACCAAACAGUGAAGACCUGAGACCUGUUCUUUAGCUUCUGAAUCAUUUGUGUUCAACUGAUAUGAUUCAGACUUCAUGAGCAGUGGCCAAGCUGUCAGGGUGAUGCUAGAACAUAGACAUAAAAAUAAGGCCCUUUUGCGAGUUUUUCUACUCUCUUCCAUACCCAUGUGGCAUGCACAUUCCCGUGUAAGCCCUCGUGUUUUAUUAUCCAAAGUCCUCUCUGUAUAUCCUGCACCACAGUAAUGAACAUAUCUAGAUUUCUGUGGCAGGGAUGUAUCCUUUUCAGCACUUUUUGGGGGCAGACUCUGACCAUCCCCAGAUAAGGAUUUUAAGUAUCUUGUGUUUUUUUUUCCCUCAGUGUUUUCUUGGCACAUCUCUGACACAAAGUCAAUUCUUUUGCCCUUCAAUAAUAAGACAGGCAAGCUCUUACACUAUUCUGAGUAAAGCAAAUAGAAUAGGGUUGACAUCAUCAAGAACAUAAAUAUUGUUUUUCAUUCCUCAGUCCUCAGGAUUAUAAAAUCCAUUCUGUCUUGUAUGCACUUGUGGACCUGGUUUAUUUUAAUCCUAUUGACUCAUAACUAGGCCUGCCAGCUUGAAUAGUGUCCUACAGACCAUGAUAGCUUGAACCCCCUAGAGCUGAAUUUGUCUAUAGUAAAGCAGUUGCUAUAAUCCAACUGACUAAAUGAGUGUAACAAGCAAGAACUGUGAAAGCGAAUAAUUUGAAUGGCAUGAUGAGGGUGCGGAGUUCUUCUGAGCAGAUAUUUUGGAAUGAGUGUAGUGGGGUGGCACACAUCUGAUGUUGUCUGUUUAGCUUCAGUUCCCGAACAUGAUGAACUUGGUGCUCAUGAAGCUUCUGUUUCCCUGUGGCUUAGUUUAAUCUGCUUUCCAGCCUACGUGCCAACACCAGACACAUCCCACUUCUCCAGACAGCUUGGUUUGCUUGAGCACUGCUUGUGCUUGUUCACACAGAGGAAGCAGGGAGAGCAGUGUUAGUGCUGCAAAAGAAGGACUUCUUUACUAGAGCUUUGGUCCCUAUCUCCAAAGAGCCCUGCCGUUUCAUGUUCUCUAAAUGAAGCUCCCAAAGUUUGAGAUCUAAAUGAUCAUAAUGACCAAGGUGGUUUCUUCUUCCUAGUGCAGCGAAUGAUGCUAGCUUAGGCAAGAUCCUUGCUCUGUUGCCAUUUCUAUAGAGUGUGUGGCACAUUGAGAAAAUCUGAAUGACUCCCAUUGAUCACUGAUCAUGCAACCUGCAGACUGACACAUUUCUGCUACCCUAUGGUAGCUUGCCCUCAGUGGGCCCAGCUCUUUAUUUCUUUGAUAGGACUGCUCAAAGUCAGACCUUAUCUCCUCCCACUGCUGCCUGUUUAAGAAUCCUGAAACCAGAUUCGAGAAUUCAUUUUUCCUUCCCUCUGCCAGAAAAUGUUUUUGUUUUUCUUUUCAAGACUUAGCUUCAUAGACAAUUCCCUCUAUUUUCUUACACUGGGAAAAGGAUGAGACAGUGUAGGCAGUGCAGACAUGUAUGUGAAUGCAUGCACACUUGGUGUGCACCCACAUACACUUUUAAAACAUGUACUAUUACAUGCAGUUUCAGCCAAGAUGGCCUCAUGGGAAUUAAUUUCUAUUUGAGCCAUGAAAUAGUAAGUCUAAUGCCCUCUUAGGAGGCAAAUCAGCUUGGAGAGGGGUGUUACAGGAUGGGCAAACGGGGGAGAAAGGAGUGAGAUCCCAUGGGCAGAACCUUGUUGGAGGUUAGGACCUCAUUUGGAGAGGGGCUCAUGGAAGGAAAAAACAGGAUUAAGUAGAGGAACUAGCCCUUCUCACAGAUCUUAAAGCCUUAGGCUGCAUUUGUCACAUGAGUUUCUUCCGUUUGUGCUAUGCAUAAUUUUAUUAAAUUCAUUUGUCAUUGUUUAAAAACUAGGGGUUGAAACCUAGUCUUCCAGCUUGCUUUGAAAAGUGAAGUAUCGGGUGUAAUAUGUCAAAUAUGACCAGGAGGUUUGCAGAGUGUGGGUGUUGCAUUUCACAAGGUAAGAGGGACUUUGGAAAUAAAUGUCAGGUGUAGAAAACUUGGGAAGUGUGUAUUAACAUCCUAGUGAGACUGUGAAAUAGAUAAACUGAUAUAAAAGGAUUCUUCCAACCCUAAAUCAGGCAUUUAUACUACUCCUUUACCGCUCACCAAACAUUGCAAGAGAAGGGCUGAAGGAUCCAUGUGCUGGGAAACAGGGAGAAAGGAGGCUUCUGCAGUGCCACUGUCCAGAGGCAGUAGAGCCACUGCACUCAUGGACUCACAACAGCUGUGCCUUCUCACAUUGAGACUGCAUGAGACAGGCCGUCAAGUGUCAGCCCGGGUUAGGGAAAAGGCUGAACUAUUAGCUACUGAUAGAUUCCAUAAGAGGGAGCCAUUGUUUUCAGGUGCAUACUCCAUUCUGAGGUGAUCAGGAUCCACUGGAUAGGAUAGGUCGGUAUCCAUGAGCACAAAGGUGUCCUCAGUCAAACUCAGUGGGUCUCCCACAAACAUAACAAAAGCCAUGGAUGUAGCAAUUAGUAAGGAAGAGGGGAAUAUAUAGGGGAGGGAGAGAAAUAGAGACAGUAAUGGGUGAGAGCAUAUACAUCUAUGGAAUAAGGCCAUAUAUACAUCUACGGACUUGCCAGAGAAUCAAUUUUAAACAAGUCAGGUCUGAAUGAGACAAAACUACUAAAGCUGCCAGCAAAUAAAUGUUUAUAGCCACUAAACAAGAUGACAUAACCAAUGGACUGGUUAUUGGUAGAAGAAUCCUGAAGACUGAGCCUGGGGAGAAGGGGUAAUAAAUCCAGAACAGAAAGGUACAAGGAGACCCAGCGAAGUGGUGGUAUUGUGGAAAGGCAUACAAUGAAAAUAUUUCCCGGAGAAAGGAACACUUCAUCUGUGUGGAGUGCUAUUGUAGAUGCAAGGACAACUUGGAAUGGUACAGAAUGUAAAGUCCCUGCUGAGUAAGCAAGUAUGCGUGCAGUAAGGCAGUGGAAGAGAAAGUCUGACUAAAGCAGGCCGAAGACAGUGGAGGCCGGAAAUGCACACAGCCUUCCUGCUUCUAACAGGAACAGGAAGGGCAGCUGAGUGGGAAAAGAAAGCAGAUGUUUCAUGUUUCUAGCAAUAGGAAUGGAUGUGGAGGGAUGCCAUUAAUUAAUAAAGCAGAGAACUGAGAUGAGAGUGAGAGUGAUGUCUUUGAUAGGACAAAAAGGAAGACAUCUAGUCUACACAUGGGGAGGUUGUGCACAGAGAAGAGGCAGGACAGUUCAUCCUCAGAAACAUGGGGGAAAUGGUGUCUAGUACAGGUAUGGAUAUUGGCAGGUGGGUGUAAACUCCAGUUUGGGGAGUGGGCAGUCAGCCGGUAGAGGCAGAGGAUGCUACACCAGGAGAGUCUACCUCUUGACAUUCUGAGAUUUGUGGAGAAAUGCUGGCCUGACAGACAAUGUACCUGACAGGGCCCAAUCAAUGCUGUAGAGUGCGGAUGCUCUGACUUCUAAAUGCUGUUGAGAGGGUCCACUUGCUAGGCAUGGAAAACAGUGUGGCAUGUUGUUUGUAGCUAUGAAACAUCUGUACCUGGGGAUGGGACAGGAAUCCUUCUGUGUUUCACAUCCCUACUUGACUUGGUACUCAACUCCUUCUGCAGGAUUAACCGUAUCGCAUAGGCAUUUGAGUUUGUGACUUUUUAAAAACAUUUGUGCUAGGUUGGGCUGGCUUUGAACUCACUGUGUAACUCAUGCUGUCCUCAAACUUACAACAAUCCUCUUACCUCAGCUCCUCACUCACAAGUACUGAGCAUUUGUUCAAGCAUGAGCCAUCACCCCAGGCUCCUGACAGACUGUGGAUGGGUGAGAGAUGCACAUUUUGGUGAAAAGAGAGAGGUAUUCAUCACUCUUAGGGAAGAACUGUUGGGAAUCUGAACAAGCAUUUAACCGAGUGGUGAUGAGACAGAGAGCAUGCACCAAUUUGGGGUGGGCAAGACGAUUCCCGCUGCCUUUGGCACAUUUCCAGAAGAGCACCAUGCAAAUACUGCUGUUUCCUUCUUAGUAUCUCAUAGAGCGCUGCAUAUAAAAAGUUGACUGAUUAAAUUGCUUGCCGGGUGUGUUGUCCUGGAUUAGCUCCUUUCUAUUCUCACUAGGUCUUCAGCCCCAUCCGGGUCACUAACCACUGAACUAGCCAUAUGAUGCCCAUCUGAUCUUGUGGUAAUAUCAGGUCACAGAGAUUAUUUCAACAGCUAGCAUAAGCAGUGUUGUUGCUGGCUUCGGCUCAAACUAUGUCUUGUGAUCUGGACGAUGACUCCUUAGAGAUUCUAUCAAGUUAAAAUUAGAAUACUUAUUUUAAGAAAUAUAUGCAAGCUGAUACAAAUCCCCUUACUGGGUCAGAAUAAAUGGCUCUUAAUAAUUUAGAAACAAUUGAACCAAACUUCUUUUUUAAAUUCCUGGCUGGUGAUUUUGUGGAUAAACCCAGGGUAUAUCAGGAAACCUCAUUAUUUUUGUCAUAAGCUGGAGUCAAUUGAGUUAAAUGCCCCUUUCUAGCCAUUAGUGCUUUGUUUUUGUUUUGUUUUUUACUUGUUUGUUUUUUUUCUUUUUUUAAAAGAGAUUAAGUUAUUUUUUUUAUUAACUUGAGUAUUUCUUAUAUACAUUUCGAGUGUUAUUCCCUUUCCCGGUAUCCGGGCAAAAAUCCCCCUCCCCCCUCCCCUUCCUUAUGGGUGUUCCCCUCCCGAUCCUCCCCCCAUUGCCGCCCUCCCCCCACCAGUCUAGUUCACUGGGGGUUCAGUCUUAGCAGGACCCAGGGCUUCCCCUUACACUGGUGCUCUUACUAGGAUAUUCAUUGCUACCUAUGAGGUCAGAGUCCAGGGUCAGUCCAUGUAUAGUCUUUAGGUAGUGGCUUAGUCCCUGGAAGCUCUGGUUGCUUAGCAUUGUUGUACAUAUGGGGUCUCGAGCCCCUUCAAGCUCUUCCAGUUCUUUCUCUGAUUCCUUCAACUGGGGUCCUAUUCUCAGUUCAGUGGUUUGCUGCUGGCAUUCGCCUCUGUAUUUGCUGUAUUCUGGCUGUGUCUCUCAGGAGCGAUCUACAUCCGGCUCCUGUCGGCCUGCACUUCUUGGCUUCACCCAUCUUGUCUAAUUGGGUGGCUGUAUAUGUAAGGGCCACAUGUGGGCCAGGCUCUGAAUGGGUGUUCCUUCAGUCUCUGUUUUAAUCUUUGCCUCUCUCUUCCCUGCCAAGGGUAUUCUUUUUCCCCUUUUAAAGAAGGAGUGAAGCAUUCACAUUUUGAUCAUUCAUCUUGAGUUUCAUUUGUUCUAGGCAUCUAGGGUAAUUCAAGUAUUUGGGCUAAUAGCCACUUAUCAAUGAGUGCAUACCAUGUAUGUCUUUCUGUGGUUGGGUUAGCUCACUCAGGAUGAUGUUUUCCAGUUCCAACCAUUUGCCUACGAAUUUCAUAAAGUCGUUGUUUUUGAUAGCUGAGUAAUAUUCCAUUGUGUAGAUGUACCACAUUUUCUGUAUCAUUCUUCUGUUGAAGGGCAUCUGGGUUCUUUCCAGCUUCUGGCUAUUAUAAAUAAGGCUGCAUUGAACAUAGUGGAGCACGUGUCUUUUUUAUAUGUUGGGGCAUCUUUUGGGUAUAUGCCCAAGACAGGUAUAGCUGGGUCCUCAGGUAGUUCAAUGUCCAAUUUUCUGAGGAACCUCCAGACUGAUUUCCAGAAUGGUUGUACCAGUCUGAAAUCCCACCAACAAUGGAGGAGUGUUCCUCUUUCUCCACAUCCUCACCAGCAUCUGCUGUCACCUGAGUUUUUGAUCUUAGCCAUUCUCACUGGUGUGAGGUGAAAUCUCAGGGUUGUUUUGAUUUGCAUUUCCCUUAUGACUAAAGAUGUUGAACAUUUCUUUAGGUGUUUCUCAGCCAUUUGGCAUUCUUCAGCUGUGAAUUCUUUGUUUAGCUCUGAACCCCAUUUUUUAAUACGGUUAUUUGUUUCCCUGCGGUCUAACUUCUUGAGUUCUUUGUAUAUUUUGGAUAUAAGGCCUCUAUCUGUUGUAGGAUUGGUAAAGAUCUUUUCCCAAUCUGUUGGUUGCCGUUUUGUCCUAACCACAGUGUCCUUUGCCUUACAGAAGCUUUGCAGUUUUAUGAGAUCCCAUUUGUCGAUUCUUGAUCUUAGAGCGUAAGUCAUUGGUGUUUUGUUUAGGAAAUUUUUUCCAGUGCCCAUGUGUUCCAGAUGCUUCCCUAGUUUUUCUUCUAUUAGUUUGAGUGUAUCUGGUUUGAUGUGGAGGUCCUUGAUCCACUUGGACUUAAGCUUUGUACAGGGUGAUAAGCAUGGAUCGAUCUGCAUUCUUCUACAUGUUGACCUCCAGUUGAACCAGCACCAUUUGCUGAAAAUGCUAUCUUUUUUUCCAUUGGAUGGUUUUGGCUCCUUUGUCAAAAAUCAAGUGACCAUAGGUGUAUGGGUUCAUUUCUGGGUCUUCAAUUCUAUUCCAUUGGUCUAUCUGUCUGUCUCUGUACCAAUACCAUGCAGUUUUUAUCACUAUUGCUCUGUAAUACUGCUUGAGUUCAGGGAUAGUGAUUCCCCCUGAAGUCCUUUUAUUGUUGAGGAUAGCUUUAGCUAUCCUGGGUUUUUUGUUAUUCCAGAUGAAUUUGCAAAUUGUUCUGUCUAACUCUUUGAAGAAUUGGAUUGGUAUUUUGAUGGGGAUUGCAUUGAAUCUGUAAAUUGCUUUUGGUAAAAUGGCCAUUUUUACUAUAUUAAUCCUGCCAAUCCAUGAGCAUGGGAGAUCUUUCCAUCUUCUGAGGUCUUCUUCAAUUUCUUUCCUCAGUGUCUUGAAGUUCUUAUUGUACAGAUCUUUUACUUGCUUUGUUAAAGUCACACCGAGGUACUUUAUAUUAUUUGGGUCUAUUAUGAAGGGUGUCGUUUCCCUAAUUUCUUUCUCGGCUUGUUUCUCUUUUGUAUAGAGGAAGGCAACUGAUUUAUUUGAGUUAAUUUUAUACCCAGCCACUUUGCUGAAGUUGUCUAUCAGCUUUAGUAGUUCUCUGGUGGAACUUUUGGGAUCACUUAAAUAUACUAUCAUAUCAUCUGCAAAUAGUGAUAUUUUGACUUCUUCUUUUCCGAUCUGUAUCCCCUUGACCUACUUUUGUUGUCUGAUUGCUCUGGCUAGAACUUCAAGAACUAUAUUGAAUAAGUAGGGAGAGAGUGGGCAGCCUUGUCUAGUCCCUGAUUUUAGUGGGAUUGCUUCAAGUUUCUCUCCAUUUAGUUUAAUGUUAGCAAAUGGUUUGCUGUAUAUGGCUUUUACUAUGUUCAGGUAUGGGCCUUGAAUUCCUAUUCUUUCCAGGACUUUUAUCAUGAAGGGGUGUUGAAUUUUGUCAAAUGCUUUCUCAGCAUCUAAUGAAAUGAUCAUGUGGUUCUGUUCUUUCAGUUUGUUUAUAUAAUGGAUCACGUUGAUGGUUUUCCGUAUAUUAAACCAUCCCUGCAUGCCUGGGAUGAAGCCUACUUGAUCAUGGUGGAUGAUUGUUUUGAUGUGCUCUUGAAUUUGGUUUGCCAGCAUUUUAUUGAGUAUUUUUGCGUCGAUAUUCAUAAGGGAAAUUGGUCUGAAGUUCUCUUUCUUUGUUGUGUCUUUGUGUGGUUUAGGUAUAAGAGUAAUUGUGGCUUCGUAGAAGGAAUUCGGUAGGGCUCCAUCUGUUUCAAUUUUGUGGAAUAGUUUGGAUAAUAUUGGUAUGAGGUCUUCUAUGAAGGUUUGAUAGAAUUCUGCACUAAACCCGUCUGGACCUGGGCUCUUUUUGGUUGGGAGACCUUUAAUGACUGCUUCUAUUUCCUUAGGAGUUAUGGGGUUGUUUAACUGGUUUAUCUGUUCCUGAUUUAACUUUGAUACCUGGUAUCUGUCUAGGAAAUUGUCCAUUUCCUGAAGAUUUUCAAGUUUUGUUGAAUAUAGGUUUUUAUAGUAAGAUCUGAUGAUUUUUUGAAUUUCCUCUGAAUCUGUUGUUAUGUCUCCCUUUUCAUUUCUGAUUUUGUUAAUUUGGACGCACUCUCUGUGUCUUCUCGUUAGUCUGGCUAAGGGUUUAUCUAUCUUGUUGAUUUUUCUCAAAGAACCAACUUUUGGUUCUGUUGAUUCUUUCUAUGGUCCUUUUUGUUUCUACUUGGUUGAUUUCAGCUCUGAGUUUGAUUAUUUCCUGCCUUCUACUCCUCCUGGGUGUAUUUGCUUCUUUUUGUUCUAGAGCUUUUAGGUGUGCUGUCAAGCUGCUGACAUAUGCUCUUUCCUGUUUCUUUCUGCAGGCACUCAGCGCUAUGAGUUUUCCUCUUAGCACAGCUUUCAUUGUGUCCCAUAAGUUUGGGUAUGUUGUACCUUUAUUUUCAUUAAAUUCUAAAAAGUUUUUAAUUUCUUUCUUUAUUUCUUCCUUGACCAGGUUAUCAUUGAGUAGAGCAUUGUUCAAUUGCCAAGUAUAUGUGGGCAUUCUUCCUUGAUUGUUAUUGAAGACCAGUUUUAGGCUGUGGUGGUCCGAUAGCACGCAUGGGAUUAUUUCUAUCUUUCUGUACCUGUUGAGGCCCGUUUUUUGACCAAUUAUAUGGUCAGUUUUGGAGAAAGUACCAUGAGGAGCUGAGAAGAAGGUAUAUCCUUUUGCUUUAGGAUAGAAUGUUCUAUAAAUAUCUGUUAAGUCAAUUUGGCUCAUGACUUCUCUUAGUCUGUCGACAUCACUGUUUAAUUUCUGUUUCCAUGAUCUGUCCAUUGAUGAGAGUGGGGUGUUGAAAUCUCCCACUAUUAUUGUGUGAGGUGCAAUGUGUAUUUUGAGCUUUAGUAAGGUUUCUUUUACAUAUGUAGGUGCCCUUUUAUUUGGGGCAUAGAUAUUUAGGAUUGAGAGUUCAUCUUCUUGGAUUUUUCCUUUGAUGAAUAUGAAGUGUCCUUCCUUAUCUUUUUUGAUGACUUUUAGUUGAAAAUUGAUUUUAUUUGAUAUUAGAAUGGCUACUCCAGCUUGCUUCUUCUGACCAUUUGCUUGGAAAGUUGUUUUCCAGCCUUUCACUCUGAGGUAAUGUCUGUCUUUGUCUCUGAGGUGUGUUUCCUGUAGGCAGCAGAAUGCAGGGUCCUUGUUGAGUAUCCAGUUUGUUAAUCUAUGUCUUUUUAUUGGGGAGUUGAGGCCAUUGAUGUUGAGAGAUAUUAAGGAAUAGUAAUUAUUGCUUCCUGUUAUAUUCAUAUUUGGAUGUGAGGUUAUGUUUGUGUGCUUUCAUUCUCUUUGUUUUGUUGCCAAGACGAUUAGUUUCUUGCUUCUUCUAGGGUAUAGCUUGCCUCCUUAUGUUUGGCUUUACCAUUUAUUAUCCUUUGUAGUUCUGGAUUUGUAGAAAGAUAUUGUGUAAAUUUGGUUUUGUCAUGGAAUAUCUUGGUUUCUCCAUCUAUGUUAAUUGAGAGUUUUGCAGGAUACAGUAACCUGGGCUGGCAUUUGUGUUCUCUUAGGGUCUGUAUGACAUCAGUCCAGGAUCUUCUGGCCUUCAUAGUUUCUGGCGAGAAGUCUGGUGUGAUUCUGAUAGGUCUGCCUUUAUAUGUUACUUGACCUUUUUCCCUUACUGCUUUUAAUAUUCUUUCUUUAUUUUGUGCGUUUGGUGUUUUGACUAUUAUGUGACGGGAUGUGUUUCUUUUCUGAUCCAAUCUAUUUGGAGUUCUGUAGGCUUCUUGUAUGCCUAUGGGUAUCUCUUUUUUUAGGUUAGGGAAGUUUUCUUCUAUGAUUUUGUUGAAGAUAUUUACUGGUCCUUUGAGCUGGGAGUCUUCACUCUCUUCUAUACCUAUUAUCCUUAGGUUUGAUCUUCUCAUUGAGUCCUGGAUUUCCUGUAUGUUUUGGACCAGUAGCUUUUUCCACUUUACAUUAUCUUUGACAGUUGAGUCAAUGAUUUCUAUGGAAUCUUCUGCUCCUGAGAUUCUCUCUUCCAUCUCUUGUAUUCUGUUGGUGAAGCUUGUAUCUACAGCUCCUUGUCUCUUCUUUUGGUUUUCUAUAUCCAGGGUUGUUUCCAUGUGUUCUUUCUUGAUUGCUUCUAUUUCCAUUUUUAAUUCCCUCAACUGUUUCAUUGUGUUUUCCUGGAAUUCUUUCAGGGAUUUUUGCGAUUCCUCUCUGUAGGCUUCUACUUGUUUAUUAAUGUUUUCCUGUGUUUCCCUAAGGGUGUUCUUCACGUCUUUCUUGAAGUCCUCCAGCAUCAUGAUCAAAUAUGAUUUUUAAACUAGAUCUUGCUUUUCUGGUGUGUUUGGAUAUUCCAUGUUUAUUUUGGUGAGAGAAUUGGGCUCCGAUGAUGCCAUGUAGUCUUGGUUUCUGUUGCUUGGGUUCCUGCGCUUGCCUCUCGCCAUCAGAUUAUUUCUAGUGUUACUUUGUUCUGCUAUUUCUGACAGUGGCUAGACUGUCCUAUAAGCCUGAGUGCUGUAGAUCUGUUUUCCUCUCUUUCAGUCAGUUAUGGGGACAGAGUGUUCUGUUUUAGGGCGUGUAGUUUUUCCUCUCUACAGGUCUUCAGCUGUUCCUGUGGGCCUGUGUCUUGAGUUCACCAGGCAGCUUUCUUGCAGCAGAAAAGUUGGUCUUACCUGUGGUCCCGAGGCUCAAGUUCGCUCGUCGGGUGCUGCCCACGGGCUCUCUGCAGCGGCAGCAACCAGGAAGACCUGUGCCUCCCCUUCCGGGGGCUUCAGUGCACCAGGGUUCCAGAUGGCCUUUGGUGUUUUCCUCUGGCGUCCGAGAUGUGUGCGCAGAGAGCAGUCUCUUCUGGUUUCCCAGGCUUGUCUGCCUCUCUGAAGGUUUAGCUCUCCCUCCCACGGGAUUUGGGUGCAGAGAACUGUUUAUCCGGUCUGUUUCCUUCAGGUUCCGGGGGUGUCUCAGGCAGGGGUCCUGCCGCUCCUGGGCCCUCCACCACGGGAGCCCAGAGGCCUUAUACAGUUUCCUCUUGGGCCAGGGAUGUGGGCAGGGGUGGGCAGUGUUGGUGGUGUCUUCCACUCUGCAGCCUCAGGAGUGCCCACCUGACCAGGCGGUGAGGCCUCUUUCCCAAGGGGUCUGGGAGCAGAGAGCUGCUGCCGGCUGGGAUCCGCGGGCGUGGGACCUCUGGCAAACACAGGACGUGCCCGGUCCUAGAUGAACUCUGCCUCUGUGUGUCCCGAUCUCACCAGGCAGCUCUCUUGCAGCAGACAAGUUGGUCUUACCUGUGGUCCCGAGGCUCAAGUUGCUCGCGGGGUGCUGCCCACGGGCUUUCUGCAGCGGCAGCAACCAGGAAGACCUGUGCUGCCCCUUCCGGGAGCUUCAGUGCACCAGGGUUCCAGAUGGUCUUUGGCUUUUUCCUCUGGCGUCCGAGAUGUGUGUGCAGAGAGCAGUCUCUUCUGGUUUCCCAGGCUUGUCUGCCUCUCUGAAGGUUUAGCUCUCCCUCCCACGGGAUUUGGGUGCAGAGAACUGUUUAUCCGGUCUGUUUCCCUCAGGUUCCGGCGGUGUCUCUACUUGUUUGUUUUUUGCUUUCUGCCAGGUGGUGUACAUUCUACCUACAUGCUGCCUUUAGGUUUGGUAAAAAUGCCAAAGUUGUGCACUUCCUGGGACGAACCAAGCCAUGGAAUUACACGUACAAUCCCCAAACAAAAAGUGUCAAAUGUGAAUCCCAGGAC